AUACGGAGGGUGCGAGCGUUAAUCGGAAUUACUGGGCGUAAAGCGCGCGUAGGCGGCUAGGUCAGUCGGAUGUGAAAGCCCCGGGCUUAACCUGGGAACUGCAUUCGAUACUGCCUGGCUAGAGUAUGGUAGAGGGAAGUGGAAUUCCGGGUGUAGCGGUGAAAUGCGUAGAUAUCCGGAGGAACACCAGUGGCGAAGGCGACUUCCUGGACCAAUACUGACGCUGAGGUGCGAAAGCGUGGGGAGCAAACAGGAGUAGAAACCCCAGUAGUCC
rnacentral:rRNA from 1 species